AGCAAUCAGUGAGAUUUUUUCGGUAUCUCUGAACACGUCAGCUGCCGUAGAGGUGGAUAACUUACUUUUAAAGAAACUCGCGGUGAAGAAACAUGCUAAAUCUAGCGAUCUUUCUUGUGCUUGGAGCAUCUGCAGCCCUGUCAGAAGCACUGACGUCGAAUAUUUCUUAUGCCUUGGAACCGAAAGGAAGGACCUACGUAUAUUCCACUCUGCAUUCUGACAAGAAUCAUAGCUGUGCCUCUUACCGAAAGUACACAAUUCAGUGUCCAUACUAUCAUUGCUUCUAUUACGUUCUAUAUACUUAUGAAACUAACAGCGCAAAGGAAAAAGUGUGGCACUAUGGAGAACUUCAGAGACCAUGUCGUCACGAUGACUACAAAAAUUAUUCUUGCUUAUUGAGCAUGAAUAUAUCAACUUUUAAUACUACUGGAAAAGUGGAUGAACCGGAGAGAAAGGUGCUCAUGUAUUGGAAUGAAACAUCGGCUGUGGUGUAUAUAUUGUUCUGGUAAACGAAACAAAAGCGGGAUGCGAGCUUCACUCACGUGACGGAGCACACGAGAAAGCGAAAAUUACCGGUAAUCUUCAGACUUGUCACUCCGAGUUUCGUAAACACUGCCAAGAAUACUCUCGAGGCAACGACUACAUGACGAGAUGUAAUAUGCAAGCGGGACUGUAACCAAAGAAUCAUCCUCGACAAGCUUCUCUUUGCAAACUUUUUGUUUUCAAGCAAGAAACAAGCUCUGGUGUACAUGACAAGAGCAAGUAAAGGACAAGAGUAAAUCCCAGUUUGCUUUAUGUAUGACAAAUAAAAUCUUGUUUGUUGGAAUG